GGCGGACGGGUGAGUAAUGUAUAGGAACUUGCCUAGUAGUGGGGGACAACGCGCGGAAACGCACGCUAAUACCGCAUACGCCCUACGGAGGAAAGCGGGGGCUCUUCGGACCUCGUGCUACUAGAUAGGCCUAUAUUGGAUUAGCUAGUUGGUAAGGUAAAGGCUUACCAAGGCGACGAUCCAUAGCUGGUUUGAGAGAAUGAUCAGCCACACUGGGACUGAGACACGGCCCAG
rnacentral:rRNA from 1 species